AUUUAUUUAAACAUUUGUUCAUUUGUGCAUUUUUAUUUAUGCAUUUGCUUAUUUUGCAUUAGUUUACAGUAUAUACGCAUUUGUUUUUUUUAUGCAGUUGUUUAUGCAUUCAAUUAAACUUUACUUUUUUGGUUGGUGGUUUGUUUUUUCAUUUGUUUUUCAUAAAUUUGUUUAUUAAUUUAUUUAAUGCAUUUAUUUUUUAAACAUUUAUUUAUUUGUGCAUUUGUUUAUUUAUUCUUGCAUUUGAUCAUUUAUUCAUGUGUUUGUUUCAUUUCAAUUUAUUUAUUUAUUUAUUUAUUAGUGAUCUUAUUUUGUAAAUAGCCAUUUCUUAUGGCUAUUGACACUCAGACAUCAUGUACAGCACAUGCACUUUGUGACCCCUACACAAGCAACACAUGCAAGAUGACACAAGUGUGCAUACUUACACCUCUAGACCUCAUUAAUGUUUACAAAAAGAUUUAAUUACCCUUUUUAGCACCAAGUUGCCCUUGGUGAAGUGAAACUGUCACCUAUCAAAUAAGACUUUUCUUACCUGCAGCCAAUCAGAAGCUGUGCCUGACAAGUGACCUUGCUGCCGAGCAGCUGAUUGGCUUUGUCAGAACUGUCAAUCUCUUCAAGACCCUGACAGGAUAAACAGAGCAGAGAUAUGCACAUAGACACAGACAAAGGAGAUGCAGGAGGAAUGUGAGAGAAUGGAAACAAAGACAGAAAAGGAUAGAUGAGAGAGACAGAAAACUGGAAGGAGAUGGAGGCCAGCCUUGAACCAUAAUGGCUCUUCAUUGGUUCAAAUGUACAAGUGACAGUGCCGCUGUUUUGGCUCUCUUGGAUGAAUGGGGAUGGGUGGUAAGCGGCAGGCGAUGGAUGGGUUGGAGAACAGAACAAGAACAGAGAUUUGCAGUGCAUUGCAAAACAGCAAAGAGCAGCAGCAGUGACACGGGGGUUAUAAAUAGAUCUCCAUAUAUAGAGCCAGAGGCUACCUGGCUGGCGGAGGCCGAGCACUCGCUACAGUAAUCACACAUGAUUUAUACCUGGUCCGGUGUGGUGCUGCGAUUCUGCACCUGAGUUCUGCCACACGUGGUGUCAAUUAUGUGAUUAAAGAUCAGACGGUGGCUGUGUUUACAUAGACGGCAGUAAUAUGACCACAGACGAUAUUUUGGAUCAGAAAAUUGCUGUAAUAAGGCAUGUGGAACAUUUUUGGAAUUGUGUCAUAUUAUUUAAGACACGUAGGCAUUUUAAUCGGGCUAUAACUCUCUGGUUUGUGAGCGACUGGCAGCAUAUGGCAGUCACUUCACGGCACAUGCUUUACAUUCCUUAUAUGCAGUCCAUAUCAGACCAGAGCAUGAGCGUAAAUGGGGAAUCUGAAUGAAACAGUUGUACAAACAACCCAUGUAAACAACUGACAACCUAUGUAAACCACUUAAUCAGUAUGUCGUCAUAUUCAGAAUAAACACAGAAUAUGUAAACA
ensembl:lncRNA